rnacentral:rRNA from 1 species
AUUGAACGCUGGCGGCAUGCCUUACACAUGCAAGUCGAACGGCAGCACGGGUGCUUGCACCUGGUGGCGAGUGGCGAACGGGUGAGUAAUACAUCGGAACAUACCUUAUCGUGGGGGAUAACGCAGCGAAAGCUGUGCUAAUACCGCAUACGCCCUGAGGGGGAAAGCGGGGGAUCGAAAGACCUCGCGCGAUUAGAGCGGCCGAUGCCUGAUUAGCUUGUUGGUGGGGUAAAAGCCCACCAAGGCGACGAUCAGUAGCUGGUCUGAGAGGACGAUCAGCCACACUGGGACUGAGACACGGCCCAGACUCCUACGGGAGGCAGCAGUGGGGAAUUUUGGACAAUGGGGGCAACCCUGAUCCAGCAAUGCCGCGUGAGUGAAGAAGGCCUUCGGGUUGUAAAGCUCUUUUGUCAGGGAAGAAACACCGGCUCUAACACAGUCCGGGAAUGACGGUACCCGAAGAAUAAGCACCGGCUAACUACGUGCCAGCCGCCGCAGUAA